rnacentral:rRNA from 1 species
GAUGAACGCUGGCGGCGUGCCUAAUACAUGCAAGUCGAGCGAACGGACGAGAAGCUUGCUUCUCUGAUGUUAGCGGCGGACGGGUGAGUAACACGUGGAUAACCUACCUAUAAGACUGGGAUAACUUCGGGAAACCGGAGCUAAUACCGGAUAAUAUUUUGAACCGCAUGGUUCAAAGGUGAAAGACGGUCUUGCUGUCACUAAUAGAUGGAUCCGCGCUGCAUUAGCUAGUUGGUAAGGUAACGGCUUACCAAGGCAACGAUGCAAAACCGACCUGAGAGGGUGAUCGGCCACACUGGAACUGAGACACGGUCCAGACUCCUACGGGAGGCAGCAGUAGGGUAUCUUCCGCAAUGGGCGAAAGCCUUACGGAGCAACGCCGCGUGAGUGAUGAAGGUCUUCGGAUCGUAAAACUCUGUUAUUAGGGAAGAACAUAUGUGUAAGUAACUGUGCACAUCUUGACGGUACCUAAUCAGAAAGCCACGGCUAACUACGUG